AUGAACGCUAGCGACAGGCUUAACACAUGCAAGUCGAGGGGCAGCGGGGGUAGCAAUACCCGCCGGCGACCGGCGCACGGGUGAGUAACGCGUAUGCAACUUACCUAUCAGAGGGGGAUAACCCGGCGAGAGUCGGACUAAUACCGCAUGAAGCAGGGGCCCCGCAUGGGGAUAUUUGCUAAAGAUUCAUCGCUGAUAGAUAGGCAUGCGUUCCAUUAGGCAGUUGGCGGGGUAACGGCCCACCAAACCGACGAUGGAUAGGGGUUCUGAGAGGAAGGUCCCCCACAUUGGUACUGAGACACGGACCAAACUCCUACGGGAGGCAGCAGUGAGGAAUAUUGGUCAAUGGGCGCGAGCCUGAACCAGCCAAGUCGCGUGAGGGAUGAAGGUUCUAUGGAUCGUAAACCUCUUUUAUAAGGGAAUAAAGUGCGGGACGUGUCCUGUUUUGUAUGUACCUUAUGAAUAAGGAUCGGCUAACUCCGUGCCAGCAGCCGCGGUAAUACGGAGGAUCCGAGCGUUAUCCGGAUUUAUUGGGUUUAAAGGGUGCGUAGGCGGCCUUUUAAGUCAGCGGUGAAAGUCUGUGGCUCAACCAUAGAAUUGCCGUUGAAACUGGGGGGCUUGAGUAUGUUUGAGGCAGGCGGAAUGCGUGGUGUAGCGGUGAAAUGCUUAGAUAUCACGCAGAACCCCGAUUGCGAAGGCAGCCUGCCAAGCCAUGACUGACGCUGAUGCACGAAAGCGUGGGGAUCAAACAGGAUUAGAUACCCUGGUAGUCCACGCAGUAAACGAUGAUCACUAGCUGUUUGCGAUACAGUGUAAGCGGCACAGCGAAAGCGUUAAGUGAUCCACCUGGGGAGUACGCCGGCAACGGUGAAACUCAAAGGAAUUGACGGGGGCCCGCACAAGCAGUGGAGUAUGUGGUUUAAUUCGAAGCAACGCGAAGAACCUUACCAGGUCUUGACAUCCGAUGCAUAGCACAGAGAUGUGUGAAAUCCUUCGGGACAUCGAGACAGGUGGUGCAUGGUUGUCGUCAGCUCGUGUCGUGAGAUGUUGGGUUAAGUCCCGCAACGAGCGCAACCCCUAUCCCCAGUAGCCAGCGGUUCGGCCGGGCACUCUGAGGAGACUGCCAGGGAUAACCUGGAGGAAGGCGGGGAUGACGUCAAAUCAGCACGGCCCUUACAUCCGGGGCGACACACGUGUUACAAUGGCGUGGACAAAGGGAUGCCACCUGGCGACAGGGAGCGAAUCCCCAAACCACGUCUCAGUUCGGAUCGGAGUCUGCAACCCGACUCCGUGAAGCUGGAUUCGCUAGUAAUCGCGCAUCAGCCAUGGCGCGGUGAAUACGUUCCCGGGCCUUGUACACACCGCCCGUCAAGCCAUGGGAGCCGGGGGUACCUGAAGUCCGUAACCGCGAGGAUCGGCCUAGGGUAAAACUGGUGACUGGGGCU
rnacentral:rRNA from 1 species